UAUAAAGUGGCGAACGGCUGAGUAACACGUGGGCAACCUGCCCUUUGCACUGGGAUAGCCUCGGGAAACCGAGGUUAAUACCGGAUACUCCAUAUUUGUCGCAUGGCGAAUAUGGGAAAGCUCCGGCGGCAAAGGAUGGGCCCGCGGCCUGUUAGCUAGUUGGUGGGGUAGUGGCCUACCAAGGCAAUGAUGGGUAGCCGGGUUGAGAGACCGACCGGCCAGAUUGGGACUGAGACACGGCCCAGACUCCUACGGGAGGCAGCAGGU
rnacentral:rRNA from 1 species